UGAUGGAUGCAUGCUUAAAAUUCAAAGAACUAUGGAAAAGAAAGCAUGAAAGUGGCCAAUGGCUUGAAAUUGAAGCAGCAGAAGCACUGUCCAGCCGGCCAGACUUUUCCCCCUCCACAAAUACGUCAGGCAUUAUACUUACAAAUUUGACUGACAAGCAGACAGAAUCUAGAGAAGCAUGGCCUGAAUCUCAACAUGAACCAUCUUCAACAAUGAAGGGGAAUGCAAGUGCAGAUGGAAAUACACCUAUGAUGUACCAGUCACCACCAGGCCACCGAGAGUA
rnacentral:misc_RNA from 1 species